GACGAACGCUGGCGGCGUGCUUAACACAUGCAAGUCGAACGGAAAGGCCCUGCUUUUGUGGGGUGCUCGAGUGGCGAACGGGUGAGUAACACGUGAGUAACCUGCCCUUGACUUUGGGAUAACUUCAGGAAACUGGGGCUAAUACCGGAUAGGAGCUCCUGCUGCAUGGUGGGGGUUGGAAAGUUUCGGCGGUUGGGGAUGGACUCGCGGCUUAUCAGCUUGUUGGUGGGGUAGUGGCUUACCAAGGCUUUGACGGGUAGCCGGCCUGAGAGGGUGACCGGCGACAUUGGGACUGAGAUACGGCCCAGACUCCUACGGGAGGCAGCAGUGGGGAAUAUUGCAGAAUGGGCGGAAGCCUGAUGCAGCAACGCCGCGUGCGGGAUGACGGCCUUCGGGUUGUAAACAGCUUUCGCCUGUGACGAAGCGUGAGUGACGGUAAUGGGUAAAGAAGCACCGGCUAACUACGUG
rnacentral:rRNA from 1 species